AGAACCCAGGACCACCAACCCAGGGACGGCACCUCCCACAAGAAAGUUCCAGUCCUGCCGGUCUCGAAGAAGACCAACAGGAGGAGGGAGAAAAGAA